rnacentral:tRNA from 1 species
GCCCAAGUAGCUUAAAUAGAGUGUCGGUCUUGUACGCCGAAGGUGUUUAUACUAACCUUGGACU